CCUACGGGUGGCAGCAGUGGGGAAUAUUGGGCAAUGGGCGCAAGCCUGACCCAGCAACGCCGCGUGAAGGAAGAAGGCUUUCGGGUUGUAAACUUCUUUUCUCAGGGACGAAGCAAGUGACGGUACCUGAGGAAUAAGCCACGGCUAACUACGUGCCAGCAGCCGCGGUAAUACGUAGGUGGCAAGCGUUAUCCGGAUUUACUGGGUGUAAAGGGCGUGUAGGCGGGAAAGCAAGUCAGAUGUGAAAACCAUGGGCUCAACCUGUGGCCUGCAUUUGAAACUGUUUUUCUGGAGAACUGGAGAGGCAGACGGAAUUCCUAGUGUAGCGGUGAAAUGCGUAGAUAUUAGGAGGAACACCAGUGGCGAAGGCGGUCUGCUGGACAGCAACUGACGCUGAGGCGCGAAAGCGUGGGGAGCAAACAGGAUUAGAUACCCUUGUAGUC
rnacentral:rRNA from 1 species